rnacentral:tRNA from 1 species
CCGUCGAUAGCUCAGUUGGCAGAGCGAUUGGACUGUAAAUCCAUAGGUCGCUGGUUCGAAUCGGCUCGACGGA